rnacentral:rRNA from 1 species
UACAGAGGUCCCAAGCGUUGUUCGGAUUCACUGGGCGUAAAGGGUGCGUAGGUGGUCGGGUAAGUCUGAUGUGAAAUUUCCGAGCUCAACUCGGAAACUGCAUCGGAUACUAUUCGGCUCGAGGAUUGGAGGGGGGACUGGAAUACUUGGUGUAGCAGUGAAAUGCGUAGAUAUCAAGUGGAACACCAGUGGCGAAGGCGAGUCUCUGGACAUUUCCUGACGCUGAGGCACGAAAGCCAGGGGAGCAAACGGG